rnacentral:lncRNA from 12 species
AUAUGAUAAACAGCAUGCCCCUUCUAAUUUCAUCUAGUUUACCAAUCAAAGCUAGAGUAAAAUGUGGCAAAGCAAAAGUUUUUUUAAGAUUUUAUUUGUAAGAAAUUUCUACACCGAACAUGGGGUUCAAACUAACAACCCUGAGAUCAAGAGUUGCAUGCUCUGCCAACUGAGCCAGGCAGGUACCCUCCUCACUCUUAAUUAUUAACAGACACCAAAGUAAACCAGACAUUUUAGAAAGGCCAGAAUAGUGAAAAGGAACUUGUAGGAAACUGAACCUUCAAGGGGAAGACUGUGCAAUAAGCUAUAAGAAAUUUUCUGUCAUUCAAAGAUUUUAUUGAACACCUACUAGGCAUUUACUGUUCUAGGUGUUGAACAUAAAGUAAUUAGCAAGGAAGAAAAGUGCAGGGCCUUAUGAGGCUUACAUUACCUAAGCAAGGGAAGAGAUGCUGCUAGACCUAAGGACUAAAGGCAGAGAACUGUCUUUAAAAGAAAGAGUCAAAGAACAAGAUAGAGCUUUUAAAAAUUAAAAAUGUAAUAAGUGGACUUUUUAAUACUAGAAGGAUUAAAUGAUACAGCUGAAAAUCUCCUGAGAGAUAGAAAAUGGAGAAGAAAAAAUGCCUUAAUUAGGGGAUCAGGCAAGGAAGGUAGGGGGAGGUCACGGAGCUCCAGGAGUGAUGCCUCAUGAUGGGGGAACCAUAAAACAGGCAUAUCAACUGAAAUGUUUAAAAACGCUGAGGGAAAAAUGAACAGUGCCAUCAGAGGAUGUGGGGUGAGUUCGUAUACUAGACAGCUCAACUGAUUGUAUUUGCAUAAUUCAAAGGACAUAUUGAUUAAAGAUAUGAAUAUUAAUUUAUUCAAAAUGGUGAUAUUUCUAUAUUGAAAGGAUGAGGCAAGGAUUAAGUUGAGAUGAGGGCUUCAGGGAGUGAGUGGGGAGACAUUGUAAUAGGAAGAAAUAAUUUUCUCUCUUAAUAGGAAUUUGAUAGCUAACAUCCACAUUAGAUA